rnacentral:rRNA from 1 species
AUUGAACGCUGGCGGCAGGCUUAACACAUGCAAGUCGAGCGGAGAUGAGGUGCUUGCACCUUAUCUUAGCGGCGGACGGGUGAGUAAUGCUUAGGAUUCUGCCUAUUAGUGGGGGACAACAUUCUGAAAGGAAUGCUAAUACCGCAUACGUCCUACGGGAGAAAGCAGGGGAUCUUCGGACCUUGCGCUAAUAGAUGAGCCUAAGUCGGAUUAGCUAGUUGGUGGGGUAAAGGCCUACCAAGGCGACGAUCUGUAGCGGGUCUGAGAGGAUGAUCCGCCACACUGGGACUGAGACACGGCCCAGACUCCUACGGGAGGCAGCAGUGGGGAAUAUUGGACAAUGGGGGGAACCCUGAUCCAGCCAUGCCGCGUGUGUGAAGAAGGCCAUAUGGUUGUAAAGCACUUUAAGCGAGGAGGAGGCUACUGAGACUAAUACUCUUGGAUAGUGGACGUUACUCGCAGAAUAAGCACCGGCUAACUCUGUGCCAGCCGCCGCGGUAACAC